rnacentral:tRNA from 1 species
CGCGGAGUGGAGCAGUCCGGUAGCUCGUCGGGCUCAUAACCCGAAGGUCGUUGGUUCGAAUCCAGCCUCCGCAACCA